rnacentral:tRNA from 2 species
ACUUUUUUAGUAUCAAUAAGUACAAGUGACUUCCACUCACUAAGUCUCAAAUAAAACCUGAGAAAAAGUA